rnacentral:rRNA from 1 species
UAUCAUGGCUCAGGAUGAACGCUAGCGACAGGCUUAACACAUGCAAGUCGAGGGGCAUCAUGAGGUAGCAAUACCUUGAUGGCGACCGGCGCACGGGUGAGUAACGCGUAUGCAACCUGCCCGAUACCGGGGUAUAGCCCAUGGAAACGUGGAUUAACACCCCAUAGUACUUUUAUCCUGCCUGGGAUGGGAGUUAAAUGUUCAAGGUAUCGGAUGGGCAUGCGUCCUAUUAGUUAGUUGGG